rnacentral:rRNA from 1 species
GACGAACGCUGGCGGCGUGCUUAACACAUGCAAGUCGAACGGAAAGGCCCUGCUUUUGUGGGGUGCUCGAGUGGCGAACGGGUGAGUAACACGUGAGUAACCUGCCCUUGACUUUGGGAUAACUUCAGGAAACUGGGGCUAAUACCGGAUAGGAGCUCCUGCUGCAUGGUGGGGGUUGGAAAGUUUCGGCGGUUGGGGAUGGACUCGCGGCUUUUCAGCUUGUUGGUGGGGUAGUGGCUUACCAAGGCUUUGACGGGUAGCCGGCCUGAGAGGGUGACCGGCCACAUUGGGACUGAGAUACGGCCCAGACUCCUACGGGAGGCAGCAGUGGGGAAUAUUGCACAAUGGGCGGAAGCCUGAUGCAGCAACACCGCGUGCGGGAUGACGGCCUUCGGGUUGUAAACCGCUUUCGCCUGUGACGAAGCGUGAGUGACGGUAAUGGGUAAAGAAGCACCGGCUAUCUACGUG